AACGCACCUUGCGCUCCUUGGUAUUCCGAGGAGCAUGCCUGUUUGAGUGUCAUUAAAUUCUCAAUCUUAACAACUUUGUGUUGUCUAGAUUGGAAGUGGGGGUCUUUUGUGUGGAAUCCAAUUCCUCACUCCCCUUAAAUGUAUUAGCCGGAAUGCCUCUGCAUAUCUGACUAUCAGUGUGAUAAUUAUCUAUGCUGUAGUUGUUGCAUGAGGGUAUCUGCUUCAUCAAUCGUCGCAAGACAACUAUUGACCAUCUUGACCUCAAAUCAGGUAGGACUACCCGCUGAACUUAA
rnacentral:misc_RNA from 1 species